AUGCAUCCAGCCACUUCAAUCCCGAGAACUCCCCUAUCGAACUACAAUUGGGAGGACGACGCAUCCCGCUAUAGGCGAAAGGGUCUGGCUGCCCAAGCCGCAUUAGCGGCAGCUCUGGCCGACCUCUACAAAGGAGAAGAAGAAGACUUCCUUCGUGUAAAUUGCCGAGAAGCCUACUCCAUGUACACUCCUAUUGAAUUGUCAUGGAGGCAAAUUGUCGAGAACAUUAACUGCCCUACCCCCCAGCCAGAGGAUCAUGAUCGCAAUGAAGACCACGGAUUCCAUGAGGAUCCGGACAUAUUUGUAGAGUUCGAAGAUGGAGUCUACUAUUAG
rnacentral:rRNA from 1 species